CUUUGCUUUGAUAUCAUACAGCGUGACAAGCAACAAGCCUAAAGGACAGAAUAUUAGUGUUUAAAAUACUUCUAAAUUAUCGUGUUAGUCGUCAAGACUGUAAUACAGAACGACUGAUUGUUUUCACAAACCCUUGCUGAUCUGUUUUCAAUGGCAGUUUAGCUGCAAUAUGUCAGAGGCGUGAGGAAAGGAUGAGUCUUUCAGAGGAACAGAGGUAAUACAGAACGACUGAUUGGUUUCACAAACCAGUGCUGAUCUGUUUUCAAUGGCAGUUUAGCUGAAAUAUGUCAGAGGAGCGAGGAAAGAUGAGUCUCUCAGAGGAACAGAGGAGCCACAGAUCACAGGAGACCUCUGCGCUGCACUUGAAUGGCUGCACAACAACCAAAAGUCUUCAAAGGUUUAGUGGAAGAGCUGUGCUUUCUGAUAUUGAAAGAGGAAGACCAGGAACAAGCCCUUCCUCAACUUUCACAGGCUGAAACGGAUGAUGACAGACAACUGGCCAAAGAGACUUUAGUGUUUUGCUUCCAAAUUAAGGAUGAUGAUAUGGACAUUUUUUAUUAAUGAGUGUCUGGACUAAAAGAGUCUUGUAAUUAAUUGCAUGUUUAUGGAGAUUAGAUUUUUUUUUUUUUAUUUAUUUAAUCAUGUACCUGCUGUUCAAUUUACACUCAAUUUGGUUUUAUUUUGUAAUUUUUUAGAGCAAAGCACAGCUAGUAGCUAUGUAAUGCUUUAGCUACUUAGCGGGAAAAGUUCAUUUUAUUAAAAUUAAAUAAAUAACUUGUAUUUUGUUUUGGGUUGGAUGGAUCUGAAUUUGCUUAAUUCAUGCAAUCUAGUGUACAACCGUGUAAUGUGUAUUAUACAUUAAGAAAAACAAUAGUUCAUUCUGAAAUGCUUGAGUAAAAUAUACAUUUUAUG